UACGAAUGGAGCAAGCGUUGUUCGGAAUCACUGGGCUUAAAGCGUGCGCAGGCGGUUUUGCAAGUCAGAAGUGAAAGCCUGGGGCUCAACCCCAGAACUGCUUUUGAAACUGCAAAACUAGAAUCCUGGAGAGGUCGGGAGAAUUCCUAGUGUAGAGGUGAAAUUCGCAGAUAUUAGGAGGAAUACCAGUGGCGUAGGCGCCCGACUGGACAGGUAUUGACGCUCAGGCACGAAAGCGUGGGGAGCAAACAGG
rnacentral:rRNA from 1 species